GUAAAUAUAGUUUAAAAAAAAACAUUAGAUUGUGAAUCUGACAAUAGGAGCUUGUAUCUCCUUAUUUGCC
rnacentral:tRNA from 1 species